rnacentral:lncRNA from 1 species
CCAGUUCCAACCCUGCCAGCCAUGGACCAAUGGACACACCAACCCGGCAACCCUAUGCUUUGCACACCUCCAUGCUCAUCGGUGGGUCGCAUCUGCAGACGGCAUACAGAAUUCACGCUACAGGAAGGCGACUGUUUGGUUUGGAGAGACAGCCAGCAGCCUGCCGGGGAAGUUUGAACGGUGGUUGGAGCAGUCAAAAUGGCGGGUAAAAGGGGGAU